UUUGGUGGCUAUGGAGCGGGUGUUCACCUCUUCCCAUUCCGAACAGAGAAGUUAAGCCCCGCAUCGCCGAUGAUACUGCACUUGUUUGUGGAAAAGUAGGUCGCCGCCAAUC
rfam:Bacterium P201 scaffold_76, whole genome shotgun sequence.